UUCCCUCCGCGAUGAGGUCAUCUCCCCGUCGCCCAUUGGUUGCGCUGAGCUGUCAGUCACGGGGAGUCGCGCCCUAGUUCCCCUGCUUUCUCCGAACGGCCGCGCCGAGCGCUACCUCUGAUUGGCCAAAGGCGCUGCCACUCCUUCAGCGGGCUGGCUGGGAGGCGGGAGGCGGCUCUGGUGGGCGGGCCCGAGGCUUCCGUGGCUAAGAGGAGCCGGCGGCGGCCGCGUCCGUGUGGUGGACCCGGCGGCGGCGAGCGGCGAGAGGCGAGCGGCGAGUGGCGCGAGCGACCGGCCUUUCCACCCCGCCACGCGCGCCUCGACGUGACUGAAGCGUGUGGUUGGCAUGGAAUUGAGUUUCAUCUGUCUGUGAGAAUUGUAAAAGCAAGGUUGUCAUCACGAAAGCCAAAGUGGAUUUCUCCAGUGUGGUGUGCCUCCCCCCUUCCGUCAUUGCUGUGAAUGGGCUGGACGGAGGAGGGGCUGGCGAGAAUGAGGACGAACCUGUGCUCGUGUCGUUGUCCGCGGCCC